rnacentral:rRNA from 1 species
GAUGAACGCUGGCGGCGUGCUUAACACAUGCAAGUCGAACGAAGAUGCCGGAGUGCUUGCACUUUGGCAGACUGAGUGGCGGACGGGUGAGUAACGCGUGGGUAACCUGCCUUAUACAGGGGGAUAACAGUUGGAAACGACUGCUAAUACCGCAUAAGCGCACGGUAUCGCAUGAUACAGUGUGAAAAACUCCGGUGGUAUAAGAUGGACCCGCGUCUGAUUAGCUUGUUGGUGAGGUAACGGCCCACCAAGGCGACGAUCAGUAGCCGGCCUGAGAGGGUGAACGGCCACAUUGGGACUGAGAUACGGCCCAGACUCCUACGGGAGGCAGCAGUCGGGAAUAUUGCGCAAUGGAGGAAACUCUGACGCAGUGACGCCGCGUAUAGGAAGAAGGUUUUCGGAUUGUAAACUAUUGUCGUUAGGGAAGAUACAAGACAGUACCUAAGGAGGAAGCUCCGGCUAACUACGUG